CUCCUCUUGCAAAACCAAACUUUCACCUCAAAACUGUUCAAUCUGUGCUCAAAACUGAACUAUAUUGUCAAAUCGUCAAGUCAAGACUAUUGUCGAGACGAUCAAAAUUAAAAACACUAUUGAACAGUCACUAAACACUACGUAGAAAAAUAGAAUACACAAUGCUCAGGACAUGAAGCUGGAGAAACAAAUGUUUAUUCUUCACUGUAGGCUAAAUGCAUGUUGCAAAACAAAAACAAAAAAAACUGUGCAAUUAGUACUUGUACAAAAAGACAAAACAGAAAUCUUAUUUGUUUGCCACUUGUGUACAGUAAGUCCAUGUAAAAAUAAAGUACAAAAAUAUACAAAUUAGUGCAUUACUCAGCCACGGCAUCAUGUCUCCGUACUGGGUCAGGCCACAGGACUUCAUCCACAUCACAGGCCACAUUUUGUCUGGCCAGGCAAUGGGGGAAAAAAACCCUGGCAUGCUGUAUCCAGGCUUGCCAUGCCUCCACACCUAUGUCGCCAGACACAAGUCCCAUGGCUUGCAGGAGAUUUACCCUGGUGUAAGGUUGGCGUCCAUAUACCUUCCACUACCAUGAGGAGAAGAAUUCCUCAAUGGGGUUUAGGAAAGGGGAGUACGGUGGAAGGCAAAGAUUGAUAAAACCUUGGUUCAUAUUGAACCACUCUCUAACCUGGAGGGCUCUGUGAAAACUCACAUUGUCCCAAAAAACUACAUAGCUGGGAUGCUCAUCCUGCUGCCCUAACAGAGCAUCUCACAUGUGAUUGAGGAAAAUGAAGAGCUGGUGGGUGUUGUAGGACAACCCCAUGACUGCUGAUGGCAGCACAUAAUGUGACAUUGCCACCACGCUGCCAACAAUGGCCGACGGCCAAUCAGAUUAUGGCCUCUCCUCCUUUUGGUGAGAUUAAAUCCAGCUUAAUCCAUGUAGAUGUAUUCAUGGGGUCUUUCCAUUGCAUCCAGUUGAAAACCCCUCUGUAGAAAUAGAUAGUUUUGUAAGUGAUACUGAAAAAGUGAUUUAAGCCACUACAGUAUGUGUACUAUGUGUACUAUAUACUAUGUGUCUGGAUAUAUGCCAACCUGUACAUAUUGGAAUCUUUGCUCUUUGACUCUGUCUGAGUUUUUAUCUGAUCGACACUCUGCGGUCAGUAGGCAUCCAUAAGGACUUGGCAUUACCAACUAUUGUAUUGAUUGGAGAUUAAAGUUCUGGAAAAAGCUCUGUGUUGGAAGCGCUGUCUGGAGUUGCGUUACCAAGAGGGAGUGGUGAGGACCAAUUUUACUCUUCUUUGCUACUGGUUGUUCAUACAAACUCUAAGCGAACUCUUAUCUCUCCAGUAUUGCUCAUUGGUUGUCUGGUGUCUUUGGAGGUCUUUGGAGUAACCUGAACUCAUUGUAAUGUUCAUAGAACCUCCAGUCUGAACCAUUGACACAAGGCAGGAUGGAUCAAGGGAUUCAUGUUGCUGUGCCAAAGUCUGACACUACCAUCUGCAAGUUGCAGCAGAAAAUUGGUCUGGCACCAACAAGCCACUUAAAUCAGAUUUCUUCAGAUUGAAUUCAGAUUUGCUGGUCAGAUAUUUGCAUCAGUAAGAUGUACUUGUAAACUGAGUGUAUUUACAUUUGAAUUAAAAUUAAAGAAUGAUUUUGUUUUGUCAGUGCCUGCACUGUUAUAAAGCUCUUGUCACAUAAUUUUCCACUUUAGUUUUCUUUUGAUUGCUAACUUAAUUUUUCUUUGCUGUAGGAAUUGUGACCAGAUAUGUCCAUUAGAGUUGAGGUUGAAGAAGGUAACAGAAGUCAACUGGAAGGCUGUUUUAACUUACAAUAAGAAAACAGAUGAAUCUGUGAAUUCCUCAUGAUUUGCAGGUCCUAUUAAAGCCAGCAAACUGGUGAAUGGAAAGGUAGCACAGUCAACUCGCAAUGAGGAGAAAUUUGAAUUUACAAAUCCUUUAUCAGUUAAAGAACAUGUUGCCGCAGACAUUGUCAUUAAUAAAUUCACUUAUAUGGUGAGCGAGUGUUUCCAAAACUGUUCUUCAAACCAUUAUUAAGGUAAAUAAUGCUCCUUAAUUCCUCCUCAUAUAUUGCAAAGAUUGAUGAUUUUUGUCCAGUUUUAUCAAGUUGUCUUUCCUUUGUUCUUCUUUACUUGAUUCUGUAGGAAAAAAUCAACAACAUUCAGUUAACCCAACUAGAAAAGGCAGAGCAGAGCAGUUUGAAAUGGAAAACAGCAU